rnacentral:rRNA from 1 species
UACGUAGGGGGCAAGCGUUGUCCGGAUUUAUUGGGCGUAAAGAGCGUGUAGGCGGCCAUACAGGUCCGUUGUGAAAACUGGAGGCUUAACCUCCAGACGUCGAUGGAAACCGUAUGGCUAGAGUCCGGAAGAGGAGAGUGGAAUUCCUGGUGUAGCGGUGGAAUGCGCAGAUAUCAGGAGGAACACCGGUGGCGAAGGCGGGUCUCUGGGCAGUAACUGACGCUGAGGAGCGAAAGCCAGGGGAGCAAACGGG